GACGAACGCUGGCGGCGUGCUUAACACAUGCAAGUCGAACGGAAAUGCCCUGCUUUUGUGGGGUGCUCGAGUUGCGAACGGGUGAGUAACACGUGAGUAACCUGCCCUUGACUUUUGGAUAACUUCAGGAAACUGUGGCUAAUACCGGAUAGGUGCUCCUGCUGCAUGGUGGGUGUUGGAACGUUUCGGCGGUUGUGGAUGGGCUCGCGGCUUAUUAGCUUGUUGGUGGGGUAGUGGCUUACCAAGGCUUUGACGGGUAGCCGGCCUGAGAGGGUGACCGGCCAAAUUGGGACAGAGAUACGGCCCGGACUCCUAAGGGAGGCAGCAGUGGGGAAUAAUGCACGAUGGGCGGAAGCCUGAUGCAGCAAGGCCGCGUGAGGGAUGACGGCCUUCGGGUUGUAAACCGCUUACGCCUGUGACGAAGCGUGAGUGACGGUAAUGGGUAAAGAAGCACCGGCUAACUACGUG
rnacentral:rRNA from 1 species